rnacentral:rRNA from 1 species
GCGGUGUCAGAGCCAACGUGGGCUUGGACUUUGGGCCGUCAGGGCUUUCUAUGGACAGGUGGGCUGAAUUAGGCCCAUGGACGCACAGAGCAGGGCAAGGGCAAGGGCAACGCUGAAAAGUGGAGACGCGGGAGGCUAGGCCGGCGUGGCGCCAAAAGUAACCCUACCGCCGUCCCCUUUCGUCUCUCCUGCCGGCGCGACGCAGGGGCGAACUCGGGGUCGGAGAGUCAGUACCCCCGGCGACCUUCCCGGCCCUCCAGAUAAAACCUGGCACUGCAUCUCACAGUAAGACAGAGGCAGUUUCAUAGAGAAAAGUAUUAGCUUGGCUGCCUCAGCAGUACCUUGUUGGCAGUCCAGAAGGUGCUGCAGAAAUCAUUGGUGGCAAGUUCUUUAUGCUUGGGUGACCCUUCGCUGUUUUUGUUGUUGUUGUACAGAUCAAUGCAGUCUUAUUUAAUUAGUUCCUUUUUGGAUUAAUCUGAACGAUGCAGUAGAACCAAAUCCCAAACCGGUGUCACCAGUAACAAAGCUGAAGGGGCCAACGACCACCACUGAUGGCGUUGUGGUGUGAGAACAUGUCGUUGCCGCCCCGUGUCCUUGUUGCUCCCCGUGAGUUCCCCCAAUCCCCUGAACAUUUCUUGUACUGCUUCCACUGCUGUAUGGUGUAUUCUAUUUUAAGCUCUGUUAGUUUGUGUGGCCUGGUUGAAAGGAGAACAGGAUUUAAUAAGUCCGCUAGCUGGUGAUCGCCUCUAGCAUCCGAUUUAUGGUGGGAGACCCAUAUUUAUACUCAGACCACAUUGUGUUUCUUUGCAGGCCCUUCUGGUGCCAAUGGUCAAGGGAAUAUUCUAUUACUUCGCCAUCCGAAACUAGGUGCCCAAGCCUACUACUUCAGUAUAAGUUUCUGAUCGCUGAGGACAUAGAAAAAUACAUGAUGAUGCUUGUGGCUUGUGAUUGGUCUAUUGUCAAUUUAGAGUAGUUCUGUUGUAGAAGCAUCCUUUAAAGAUAAACCAACAGCUUGCAUUGACUCUUCCUUAUCGUCAAACAGAAGAAGAAACACAGUAUCUGUUCACUGAUGGCCAACUUCAUGAAUUCAAUUGGUUUAAGGAGCGUUAUGGUUCUUGGUUCUUGGGAGAUUAUGUCUGUGAAGGUAUGGUGGAAGCAUAAACCAGCCAUGCAGUUUUGCCAUUGCUCUGCAAAACUUGAUUUAUUUUCCUUAGGGGUGAAGCCCAUAACUUAUUGUCGUUUCCUAUAGGCAGCUUAUGUGGUUUGUUGGUUUGUUACCUUGCCUCAGCAAACCUGCCAGUUAAAAUUUAUAACACAAGAAAAUCAGAUAUUGCCUUAGUUUUAAGGAACAUGAUAAUAAUAUAAACUUAUAAAGGAAUGAGGAUGUUCUUCUCAUUCGCUAUUUUGCAUAUCAUGUAGAACACAUCAAUAUAAAUCUACCUUGCUUCUGCAGUGAAUUUAAGUACCUGGUUUUGCUAUUGAAUCCUGCUUUCCUUCCUACAGAUGGUAGCGUUUACUAUUGCACACUUGUUGACCCCAUCUUCAUUCUUCUACCACUUUUCGAAGCUGCACGUAUGUCGGUAUGUGUGGUCAAAGAUACAUUUUAUUGUACAUGAUUCAUAUUUCAUCUAGCUUUUUUUUUCAAUUUAAAAGCAAUUCCUUUUCCCGUGUCGCAGAACGGUAAGGAUCUGGGAAAAUUCAGACAGCUGGAUGAAAUUUUAUACAUCGAAGGUUAUCCUGGAUAUCAGCACCUCAUGAGCAUAGCAGGAAAGCAUAUGGAACUGGUUUGUGAAGUUAAAGGUAGGUCUUUGGAAUAUAUAUUUGAUGUACAAUUACAACGAUAUCAAGUUGCUGUGACAUUGUUAGUUACUAGUACUCCCUUGCAAGUUGCAACCUGUCAGUUGUUCCCUUUGACCACUUGCUACUGCUUGUGUCCGAAACUUGCUACUGCUUGUUUUCUUUUUCCCUUUGACCCUUUGACCACUUGCUACUGCUUGUGUCCGAAACUACAAUGUUACUAUACAUUAGACAGUUCAUAAAUGCGAUCUUGUUUUCUUUUUCUUGGAUGAUGGUUUCCUACCGGUUUUACUGCCAGACACAAUAACUUUUACCCUUUUUUGUUGUUUAUGGCACAAAUUAUUUCUGUACUUGCAUACUGUGAGAACAUAUCCAAUAAAUCUUACAGAAUUAUUUGGUUUUGAUGUUAUCUUUCCUGCAGAAGUUGCUAAUAUGAAGUUCUUCAGGCUAGAUGAUUCCAAGGUCUUAACUUGGCUGUGCUGUAAGGUAGGUUGUGUCAGUUCUUACUCUGCCAACUUUCACUAUGCUCCCCUAUUGAUCUUUAUCCUUGCUGGAGAAGGCUAGUUCUGCAUUGCAUUUUAUGAAAGCAAUGACGUGAACUGCAGUUAGGGUUGGAGGUAUGCUAUACCACAUUAAGAACAGACACACACUUCUGAUUAUUGAAAUCACUUAAAUGUUUAUUGUUGUUUGCCUUGCACAAGGAUGUUAACAAUGAAGUCCCAAGUUCAGACUACUAAAUCAUAAUUCGUCCACACCAUUUUGUAGUUUGCUUUGAUUAGAUAGGUUGUAUAAGAAGGCAGGUUCAGAAAACAUUGACCACAUUGGACACUUCGUAGGGUAUGCACAAUUUGUGCUUUAUUUGUCAUAUCCAGAACCAUAGCUAACUUACAUACCUCCCGCCCUAACUGCAUCCAGAGGCUGGCCCUGGAAAGGAUUGAGUCAACCAGCACGGGUCGUGGCAUCUUCAAAGAGCGCAGUCAUUCUGCAGUGGUGCAGUCUCCAUAUCCCUUGUAACGUGAGGAUGAUGGGAGAUCACACUCCCUUCAUCUUGUCAGGACCGGCACUCUCGGCCGUGCUCUCAAUCCAGCUGUUGAAGCUAUCAUCGACUUGCAAUGCGAUCAACUGAAGGGAGAACUUUGGGCGUACCUUGCCACAUUUAUGAGCGAAGCAGCCAGUGAGUAGGCAUGGGAUUGUCUCAUUUGCUUGAGAACAUCAGAGAGCAGUUGCUGAGAAGGUGAUGAGUGUUUGGUUUAGUGACUACUAACUAGUGAGCAGCAGAGUCCUACAGCACGAUCAUCUGAGUGCAGGAUAAUAAGGCUGCUUAUUAACUGAUGAGCCGUUUGUUGUCACAAAAAUAUUUAAGAUAUACCAUUCAUUGAGAAACCAAUGUAAUGCAUCUUGUCAUGUUCUCUACCUGCAUGGAGGUGGCCCUGACAAAAACAAGACAAAAGAUAAGAAAAGCUAACUUACUAACUAAACUAGACAGGCAAAGCUAACAAGCAUAAACAUGAACAUAAAAUAGAUAUGCACUGUUGUCGCUAGUUCGCUUAAUCCUUGAAUGAGAGAAAGGAUAACAGUUUCUCAUGGUAAGUUGCUACUCUGUUUUAAUCGAGUUCUGCAAUUACAACCUCAUGGGUGAAUUGAAUUCCAAAUCAUACUUUUUCACUUCCUCUGUACCAUUGAGAAUUAAAUAUCUACUCUCAAUCUCAUUUACAGGUACACAGUAUAAAAGAGGCUAUCUCUAAGUUAGGUAAAAAUUAUGCUGCUCAAGGAGAAAGAGAACUGUGUAUGUCACUGUAACUUCUCGUCAUCUUAUUGCCCAGUUUAUUUUUACAAGUGUCUGUUUAUCUCAUAAUCAAACAGUUUAAUGUUGCUCAUAAGUGCGACAUUGAUAUGACCAUAUUAUAACAUGGGUCAUUGGUGUGAUCUAUAUCCAACAUGCCUUAAGCUAUGACAAUAAACCUCGGACUUCCUUUUCACGUAAAGUUAAGUGUGUAAACUUAAGGGAGCUUUAUAGUAUACUCCCUCCAUUCCAAAAUACUUGUCAUGGUUUUAGUUGAAAAAGUACUAGUCGUGGUUUUAGAUCAAAUUUGAAACGGAGGGAGUAUUGAUCUAAGCCUAGUGGUGGGGUACAGAAAAAGUGACAGAUCAAGUUAUAUGACUCCAUUGGUACCCUUGCUUCUGUAGCACAGCUGAGAUUACCAUCUUUGUGCCAGUAUAACUGUUCAUGUAUCAUGUGUUAUGUACUACUUCAAUAUGAGAAAUUCCAAUAAAAAUGAAAUUCCUGACCCACGUCAGAUUUUAGAACCCUAUCUUAUAAUUUUCUUGAUAAGGUGAACUGUGAUGUUCUUAUGGAGCUGUUUUUACUAUUUGUGCUACAGUGAAAGAGGCUGUCCAAAUAAUUCGUGAAAACCUGAAGGAUGAACCAUGGCUAACAGUACUCUGCAAGAAGUUGCAGUAAGACUUCUCUCUUUCAACAAGAGUCAGUAGUUCCCUCACAAAAAGAAAAGAAAAGAAAGUAGUUUGGUAUUGUCCAUGUGUCUCACGCUAGCACAAUCUGCUUCACUGCAGGUUAGACAUCAAUGAGAUAAAUGAUAUGGCCAAAACCAAUAACACGUCAUUUUGUGCUGAUAGUUCUCCUGUACCUGCUCCAGCUCGUCCCUCAGAGGUAAACUCCUGCAGAAUGUUUUAUCUUUUUGCCAGCGCCCACGCCAUGUUCUCUAAGCUUGUCAAAUGUGUCAAUACAGGGGAGCGUAGGAAAUGGCAGUGCCAAGUCAAGCAAAGGGAGGCCUGCGAAGAAACUGAAGCCUGAGGUAGGAUCAAAGAACAUUAAAGACAUGUUCCGAAGGGUGACAAGGAGUGGGACAUAACCCCGUGCGGCCUGAUUUUAUCAUCAACAUCUCACAGGGUGCUUGAUAUUCUUGGAGUUGCCGGGUUAUCUCCAAAUCUGAUGUGCUGCGAUGCCAUCGACCAUUGUUGGUUCUUGACCCAGAAACCCCUAUAUGUAAGCUGCAUUAGCUCCUUGACGAACCCUGUUGAGCUGCACUAACUGUAGCCUUAGUAAAUCAGAUCUGUAGGGCGUCGAUUCAAUUGUUUGGACUAUGAACCUUGGAAUUUAGUACCCAAAUUGUUAAUCUCAUUGAGCUGCCUGCUGAGGCUGUAACUGAACAUAUGCAGUUGCUUAAGUAACCUGAGCCGGUUGUAAUCUACUCCCUCCGUUCCUAAAUAUUUGUCUUUUUAGAGAUUUCAAAUGGAUACCACAUACAGAUAUAUAUAGACAUAUUUUAGAGUGUAGAUUCACUCAUUUUGCUCCGUAUGUAGUCACUUGUUGAAAUCUCUAGAAAGACAAAUAUUUAGGAAUGGAGGGAGUAGUUUAUUUAUUGUGUUCAUGCUGGCAUCCCUAGUUGCCUAUGACACUGAUAUUCAAGAGUGUACCCAUGAGUAUAACAUUUACAUAGUUAUGAUUCCAGCAGGACGUGGACUGGUAGGAAAAAUAACUGAAGUAACUUUAGGGCCUCUUUGAUUAGCAGGAUUUCUAAACGCGUAAAUAAAAAAGCAUUUAUAUCUAUACCACUAUAUAGCAUACGAAUAAUUUUCAAUAUUGAAUGUUGGAUAAAGCCAAUCUAACGGUUUAGAGAUGACAUUUCUGAGCAUUGUUUGCCAUUGGAUAUCCUAUUUGCUAUGUUAGAUUUUGUCACAUGUACUGUCUAGUACUCCCUCCGUCCGGAAAUACUUGUUGCAUAAAUAGAUAAAAAUGGAUGUAUCUAGAACUAAAAUACGUCUAGAUACAUCCAUUUCGCUGACAAGUAUUUCCGGACGGAGGGAGUAGUUUCCAAUACUAAGGGCAUCUUCAAUAGUUGUAAGAUGGUUGUUGGUAAAUUUGCCACAUAGGACUUUAUCUAUGACAUGUAAUAAACAAGGAGAAAUAACAAGGUUGUAUGUAUAUAAACCAACAACCAUUGCACAAGCUCCAAGCUGAGAUGAGAGAGUAGCCAUAUUUAUUCUCUCACUUUUCGUUGGAAAAGGUACAUGCACUCUAUUGGAGUAGUUGUAUGUAGAGUUGUUGGUUGAUGACAUGGUUAUUUUACCAACAAAACGUACAACCUAUUACAGAGGCUCUAAGCUUUUGCACAGUGCACUUAUAUGAGCAAACCUCAAAGCACUAUAUUUCCUUUGUUCUAGAAUAUUUCAUAGUUUAAUGCUGCCAUCUUUUUUCUUUUAAAUAAAUUGCCAUUUUGUUUACUUUAUGAUUAUCAAUGUGCAAUAUGCACAAACCUCAUCACUUUAUUAAAGAGAAGCGCAAAAUACUUUGUUGCUGCAGUAGUAUAUCAAUGUGCGCAUGCCUCUAAAAAAAUUGUAAUUCACUUUUACUUUAUUUAUUUAUUGUUCAAGGCUUUGUUACUAUCUUCAUAAAAUGAUCUAUAUUUUAUUUUUCAGUGGGACGAUAAUUAAAUCUACAUCUCAUACAUCAUGAAUAUGUGACUCUAAAGUUAUAUAUUUUCUUGCGUUAUAAUGUGGUAUGUCAUAUUCAGUUGUGCUUUGGUUAUGUAUAAGUUCUCACGGGUACCUUACCAGUAGGAGUAGAGCGACAUACCAUCUUGAAACUAUAUAGUUGCAUGAACAUUUGAUUAUGUGCAAGAAAAAAACACAUAGCAUUCUUCACAAGAGGUUGGAGUGGAUGUGAAUUUUCUUAGGAUUCACUUUGGAUCACUGGAUUGAGAACAUAUCAAUAAAGAUGAGCACAAGCAUAUAAUUUCAGAAACAUAGUAUUCUUCACGAGAGGUUGGAGUGGAUGAGAAUUUUCUCAAGACUCCCUCUUUGGAUUGGAUUAGAAACACAUGAAUAGAACAAACAAAACAAUGCCACAGUUUUGUUAGUGCAAAAGAGAGAGUUGCAAAUAUAGGAAUAGUCGUUUGGAUGAAAGACAAUAAAUAUACCUCGAUCCUAUGCGAUUGAGUCUUGGAAAGAGGUGGCAGUUGAUGUUUCAGAUUCCUAUGGGACCGAUACAGGCAAAUCCGAUCCUAGAAUUUUAG